ACUUUCAGGGCUAUCACAUGUAGAAAACCAUUCCAGCAACAGUUGCCGAAUUUCCGGCAAAGUAGAAGCGCCACUCAAAGUUAAUUCUUCUUUUGGCGCUUCAAGACGUUUUGCAUCUAUUACUACCUUCUAGAUUACAACGAUUUCAAAGGAACCAAUUAAGAAAAGAUGCAGCAAAAGAACAAAUUACCUUUAGGCUGCGCUUAUCUUCUCCUCGGCACAUAUAAUACAAGGUUUGCCCUUGCUUUUGGCCGAAUUCUUGUUGAAGCUUUCCUAUGACAGGUAUUGACGCCUAACGCAUGAAACCGAUGAGCCAUAGAUCUUCCGACACCCGCCAUAAGCAUAUUAGGGCCCAUUCCGACAGAGGCGUUACACCGUGUUUUGCUGAAGAUAACUUCUUUCAAGUGCGUCGCGAAGUCUGAUGGUGUAAGUCCAGUUUGUCGCAAAACUGUGGUAAUGUCCGCAUACAACUCAUCACAACUGACGGCUUCCAAGUCCAGGGUAUAGGAAGCCACAGUAUUGUAUAGUAAAGUGGACACCUGUCAACACGAAAGAAUUGGUUGAAUUGGCUAAAAGAUGGAUUCUCUAUGAUAUCACCAUACUUCCUUAUAUCCUUCAAAAUCGUAAGGAAUCGCAACGAGAGAUGGACAUAACUUCAAGGCUGCUCCCAUGAACAUUCCGUUAUAAAUACCAGCUGCACGAGCUUCAUAGCUGCAUGAAGCGAUUUCAGACAUGGAACAUGUUUCAUCCAAAUCUUGUAGCCGGGGAAAUACAUCUCAUUCGAAUUCAUAUUCCCGAUUACGGCCUUCACGUCUUGGGAGCGGCUUGGAAUCAGCUUUUGCAUGGGUCACGACAACUGGUUUGCCCACCAGGGACGGAUAGUUCCGCAGCCCAACCGAAACAAAGAAGCAAUCCAUAUCAAUGUGCAUGAACACAGUAUCUUCGUUUUUAUGGCUCCCUUGGUACCCAGAUGUUUUUUUCCAAUUUUCUAUGUUUUCCAUCCCUUUAUUUCAGAAAUUCCAUAAGAGAACACAGCAGUUCCUUUGAAAUAAAGAUCGGAAAAUUAUACCUGGGAAAACUCCAUUAUUUUUUUCACGCAACUCCGUCACAUGCCGUUUGAACAAAGCUCCCAUGGUAGAAAUGUGAUGGAGCCUGGAGCGCUUGUAAAAUUCAGACAAAAAAUCGUCUUCUCCCGCUCGCUUCAUUUCUCUUGAUUGCCUAAUAUCACUAGCAGAAUUUUUUGCAGGUGAAUCUGUAACCAUUGCUCUUUCAUUUCUAUUUUCACAGUAGGUGACAUCUUCUUUCUUCGCCAUUGAAACAAUGCCCAGCUUUUGUUGUCCUUUAUCUAAUGUUAGUCCAGUAUACAGCAGAUAUGGCUUCAAAUCUAAUAACGAAUUCGCUUUCACAGAAUCAACAAUCCAUUCAGGCUUAACAAAUUUUUCAUCCCCUUUAAGUUUCUUGAUUUUGGCAUCACAUAAGUUGGAGGCAAUUAUGUGAGUGGUAGCUCGAGAAUUAUAAUAAUGAUGAUAAAUACCCCCAUGUGCUAGCAUUAUGCGUUUCAGUUCUUCAGCAGUUGGAUUGGUGUAACCAUUUACAAAAAUGGCAAUAUUCAAAAAUAUGUUGCUUAAUUUUUCUUCUUCACAUGCUUCAUUGAACUUCUCAUUCAAAUAUUGAUUUUCCAGUUUUGAUAUUUUAGCUGCCAUAUAGCCUCCCUGCAAAAGGUAGUAAAAGUACUAACACUAAAGUAACAUUUUUGAAUCUAAUUGCCUUCUCACCUUGUCUUCAAACCCAUUGUCAUCCCCGAAUUUUCUUUUUCCUCUUCCAGCCAUUACUGGAAAAUCACAAUCUUAAACCGAGUGAACUAUGAACAUUUACGUUGAAACACUGCUUAUUAAGGCACAUAAAGUUCAAUAAAAGACGUGAUUUGUGUACACUUCGGAUGGUUUUGGCGGUCACGUCCACGAGACGUCUGUUUAUAUUGUUCGUUUUUUCAAAAGUGUCUACUUGGGGGCCAACAAAAAACACAUUGCCGAGUUUUCUAACUAAACCCAUCACCUUCAAAAUUACAAUAAAGAAAAUUAUUGAGACUGUUCGACCUUAGAAGUACCUAGAUAUUACGAUUAAAUAGUGGAUACUAAAAUUAUGACUUGCUGGUAUGUUAAGAAAAUGUUAAACCUAUCAUGGAGCAUGGAGAGUCACUGGGUCAGUAAGUCCAUGGUCGUAUAGGACCAGAGUCAUAGAGUUGUAUAUAAAUUAUUGCAAAGAACGUUCAGAACCAACCAUCAUUUUGCCACAAUUAACAUCACCAACUGUUAAUUUAAUUGUACCCAUUAUUCGCCUUUCAAGAGGGGGAUACGAUCCUAACAAUUCAGUGGAUAAUUUAAUUUAAUUCAUCAAAAGGAGAGACUUUCCAGAAUUGGACUCUCAUGUAUAAUUUAUCUUUGGUAAAUUUGCUGGAAUCGGUAGGGCGCUCGCACAAAAAACCACAUUACAUUUAUCGUUAAAGAAAAAAGAUAAAGGGGACAAGUUAUUACCUGAGGCGGCAAAAAAAUAUUUUGUUGAAAAUACGUGGUUGCUGUAGAAUUGGAUAUGACAAGGACAAGGCUACAUUUGUCUGCUACAGCAUGAAAACAAUUUCAGUAGCAUUGAUUCGUCAUUACAAUGAAGUGGGAAUUCCUCCAACGGACCUAAAUUUUGUCACUUAUGGCAAUACACCCGUAGGUGCACAAAUACAAUUCAAUUCGACGUGGAGAACAGCAGCUGCAAUCCUCAAUGACAUUGGAAACGAUCGAUUGAUGAACCUUUGCUAUAGGCUAUUGCUAGAUUGCAAUGCGCAAGUAACAGUAAAUGGUUUUUAAUCGGACGAAAUACUAUUGAGAAAUUAACGGAUUGAAUAUUGAAGAAAACUCGGGUGAUUCCCUUUUAAAAUUUUUUCGUGUUCGUGUUUGUUUUGUUUCAUGUUUACACGCUCGUCGAGUUUCUCGUGGAGCAGCAGCCUAUAAAAAAUGGAUGACCUUGCCAAAAAAAUCCUAUUUGUGCCACACAAAGCUUCUCAAGGUUGAAAUCUUUCAACGGGGUUUCCCCAGCCAGUUUUGUCCUAAUUGUCGAAUGACAAGCGAUUGUCGAUCAUAUAGCCACUGUGUAAAUUUGAUGCUAUCAUCUUCGAUAUCGCGGUAUCGAUAAGGUGGUUAUCGUACGGUAAUAAGUUGUCUAUGAAAGCUUCUGGGACUGGUGGACCAUUUUAACUGAGCUAUGAGUUAUCUGUUCUGUUUCGACAUUCCAUAUCUGUACUUCCCGCAGAUAAAUCACAAAAGGAAGCCCCAACAGAAUACCACAGAAUUCGGAAAAGAAAUAGCUCGUUGCUUGGUUUGCAUCACGUUGCACAACGAGAACAAUACGUCAAAAGAUUGCAAAAGUACAUCCAUGUCAACAUCUUUGGUCUACGUAAUUCGACGAAGUGUGGUUGAAAACCGAAAAAAGACGUCAUUAUGGGGACAUCAUGUUAAGAUAUGGGGAAAUAUGAUUUCAAGUUCUGCUUUCUGACUAGAAUUCACUCGGCAGAUGAAAAAGUCCCAUUUCACAUUGAAAAAAAUGGUUAGUUCUCACUGAAGUGGGUUGAGCAGAUCAUGUUGCGAUUGCCCCGUGAAUAUCGGUCGUCAACAACUGUGCAUUAUUCUUCCAAAGAAACAAUAACCGAGUACACUGUUACUCGAUUCUAACGACACAUUUCAUUAGAAGUACAAGUACAACGUUGACUGGGAAACAAGUUUUGUUGUCUACAAACAAAAAUGGGUCGCCUACCAUUCUAUUCUCUUUCUUCGAAAUUGAAUCUGGAUCGCCGAAACGAAAUGACGGUUGAUCUUUCAUCGACAUGGAACCCGACGAUUCGUGGCCUAAGUCCAUGCUGUACGAAAGCUUUCCCCCCUUGUCGACAGUAUAGUGAAUAGCUUCAUAGUGCCUGACUUUUCUAGAACAUGUAAUUGAAGGAAACAAGUUCAGCAUCGUCUAACCGGAUUAAAAGUUUUCUUUCCCACUGGCUGUUGUCCUACAGCCCAAAACAUAUUACAGCGUUAUUUAUUUCUGGAGAAAGUCAUUUACGUUAAACUAUGGUUGGAAUGAAAGAUUGAAGGCGAAUGGUCCGACUUUAUAUGGGUCCAACUUAUGUACAGAUCCGCUGACUAGACCAGGUGAACAACACAAAAAAAUGCAAUCUCAUUUUCUUGCUCUAAAAAAAACUGCAGUACUUCGUCGUUUCACAAUCUCGAAGAUCUUUUAAAAUAAACGAGUUAUAUUUUUGUAAAGGCAGUAAUGCCUAUUUUUAAAGGCUCUUAAGGUGAAUGCAAAAAAAAGUUUGAAUUACGGCGGAUAUUGCCACGAAACUAAAUGGCGAAACAGCCGUGUCAAAAGGACAAUUUAUGGUUGAACGUUGAAUAUUUAUUUUCCAAAGUGUGAUGGGAAUAGGUGGGAACAGAGCAGACAAGGAGCACAGUACUAUAUAUUAUUAGUAGAAAAGAGGCUUUACCUUCAGCUCUUAAAGAAUAAAAAAUAUAACAAUAAA
rnacentral:lncRNA from 1 species